UACGUAGGGGGCUAGCGUUGUCCGGAAUCAUUGGGCGUAAAGAGCGUGUAGGCGGUCCGGUAAGUCCGCUGUGAAAGUCGGGGGCUCAACCCUCGAAUGCCGGUGGAUACUGUCGGGCUAGAGUGCGGAAGAGGCGAGUGGAAUCCUGGUGUAGCGGUGAAAUGCCCAGAUAUCAGGAGGAACACCUAUUGCGAAGGCAGCUCGCUGGGACGUUACUGACGCUGAGA
rnacentral:rRNA from 1 species